GCGCAGCAGGCGAGAAUAGUCUACAAUGGACGAAAGUCUGAUAGUGCGACGCCGUGUGUGCGAUUAAUUCCUUCGGGAUGUAAAGCACUUUUCUAUGAGAUAAAAGCUCUUUAGGUUAAUAGCUUAUUGAGACGGAUAUUAUUAUAGGAAUAAGCUCCGGCUAACUCCGUGCCAGCAGCCGCGGUAAUACGGAAGGAGCGAGCGUUGUCCGGAUUUACUAGGCGUAAAGGGCUAGUAGGCGACUAAUUAAGUUAUAUGUUAAAUCCCACGGCUCAACUGUGGUCCUGCAUGUAAUACUGGUUAGAUAGAGUACUGUAGAGGAAGGCAGAAUUCCUGGAGUAGCGGUGGAAUGCGCAGAUAUCAGGAAGAAUACCAAAAGCGAAGGCAGCCUUCUGGGCAGUUACUGACGCUGAAUAGCGAAGGUGUGGGUAGCGAACAGGAUUAGAUACCCCGGUAGU
rnacentral:rRNA from 1 species